GCCAUAGCUCAGUGGUAGAGAAUCUGCUUUGCAUGCAGAAGGUCCCAUGUUCAAUCCCUGGCAUUCUCAGGCA
rnacentral:tRNA from 1 species